rnacentral:lncRNA from 1 species
GCUCCCCAGCUUCCAGCACAUUCCACUCAUUCCGUGAUAUAUCAACAAUGUAUUUUGUCCUGAUUUAGAUUCUAAAACAAGCCCGUUUGUUCAGGAGUCUACAAGGAAAACACAGAAAUAUAUGAAUGCGGUUUUGUUUUAACCUCAGGUGUGGGAAUAUGGGGCUGGUUUGAACUGAACACAGCAGCUGACUAGGACUUGCCUUGUGCUCUCGAAGAGGCAUGAUUUUGCCAGCUGCAGAUAGUUUCCGUGGAUGUGUGAUGUUUGGAACUCUGGGUACUCUUCAGAAGGUUCAUUGUCUGUUCCUUGAUGUGACUGGGUCAUCGGAAGACUCUGAGUCAUCGUGGGUCCUCUGCUCCCUCUCUCACCUGGGGACAAAUAAUCAAAAUGUCGUCGGCAGCCUCUGACACAUUCACUCUGCUCUAAGACUCCUGAAAAGCCAGCCUUGUUCUUGGCGAGUUCAUUUUCUGUUUUCCCGAUUCCUUCUGGAUCCAGAGAUGGGAUCAGGUGCUAAGACCCCAUUAGCCAACUCUAAACUGUAAGAUCUACCAGCAACGACAACAACAAAAACAACAACAACAACAACAACAACAAACCCAAAAGCCUGGAAGUGAAGCAUCACAAAAAAACAUUCUAAAGCUUUGUCUUUGUUUAAGGGAGACAUGGAAGAAGAUAAUGGCAGGCAAACUGGGAGAUGAUAGAACCUAUACAUGCCAUAACUAAGGUGGCCAAUCCAUCCUGGGAAUGAGUGACAUGAAGCUUCCUUAAUAAUGGAUGACAUCCCAUGGCUGUAUAGUGAACUGAAGAUGAGCCAAGAAAUAACCCAUUAGAACUGCCCAUGAGACCAGAGCACAUAAGGAAAGGAAGAAAGUCGUCUUUCCGAGCAUCAGCUUCCUUCUGUAUCCCACAGCCGUGUGGACUUUGAUUAACACACAAAGUGGAAAUUUCCAAUUAUAGAUAUCAUUUAGCCACCAUGGCACCAUGAGGGGAAAGAAAAAAAAAAAAAACAUAGUGAAAAUCGAAUCAAAGGCAGUACAUGAAUCAUCAACUCGGAACUCAGACCUCAAAGAUGUCCUGGGCGACCUCAGUAAGUCCGGUGGAUUCUCUGUCGGGUUAGAAAUAUUAACAUGAAUCUCACGGAUCCUGGCAUCACCUGGAAAAGCACGUGUUGCUUUUCAACAACACACUACGAGAACUUCCACAAGCACUUAAUCUUCGGGGCUCUUUAGUUAUUUUCCGAAAUAAAGAGAGGGACUUCUAUUUCUAUU